GUGCUUGAUUCAGAAGUGCAUGUACUAAAAUUGCAACCAUAGGAGAAGAUUAGCAUGGUCCCUGCGAAAGGAUGACACGCAAAUUUGUAAAGCGUUCCAUAUUAAG